UGGAAAUCUUUUGAAUAAGUGUUUCUGGAAGGUUGUGCUGUGAAUCUGCUAUGGGCCUCCAGGAUGGGAUUUGGGCUGGGAAACAGCUGUCCAUUUCAAAUUCAGAGGCACGGGGUGAACACAGGACUGGGAGCAGCAAAAGUGCCCCAUGGUACCAUGUCCUGCAGCAGACAUCUACUGUCACAGAUGUCAUCACGUGUGUUUCUCACAACAGAUGACUGAGGGGAUUGGGACCUUAAUUCCUUUUUCUUUCCUUUGGUGUUCCUUUAAAAUACAACUAACCCUUGAACAAUACAGGUGUUAGGACUGUCAAUUCCCCUGGCCCCAUACAGUCGAAAAUGCACAUGUAACUUUUGAGACCCCCCAAACUUAAUUACUAAUAGCUUACUGCUGACCUGAAGCCUUACUGAUAACAUAAAAGUCAAUUAACAUGUAUUUUGUAUGUUUUAUAUUCUAUACUGUAAUUCUUCCAUUAAGUAAGCUAGAGAAAUUUUUUUUGAAUUGUGGCAAAUAUUCUAAAUGUUUUACAAUAUAUGUACUAAAAACAAACGUGUACAUAAGUGGACCCACACAGUUCAAACCUGUGUUGUUCAAACCAAGGGUUGACUGGAUAUUAUUUAUUUUCAUGUAAUUCUAAAUUUAAGAGGUUCCAAAAUCUCUGCAGUGGAAAGCCUGUCUUCCUCAUAUGUAACCACCCACAUUGCUUCCUCAGUGCAACCAGAGGUCACCUGUUCCCUGAGAAAGCUUCCAGAGAUACUUUAUAUAUACAAGCAAAUACCUGUAGUCUACCCCUCCUUUAUACACUUUAAAGCUUGCUUUACACACUCUUAUGUGCCUUGAAUUUUUUUCAUAAUAAUUUAUUUUGGAGGUUACUCAAUAUCAAUAUGUGUACAUUUACAUCAUUCUUAUUGUGGAUACAUAGUAUCAUAUAAAUUGUUCUAUUUUAACACGUCCAAUUUAAUUCUUUCCAACCCUUAACUUUGACAAAUAAUACUGUAAUAAAGGACCUGUGGGCAAUUAUAUCUGAAGGAAGCAUGCAAGCGUAUUUGAAGAUAAAUUCUGGAAGAGGAAUUGUUGGUCAAAGGCUAUCCAUUUGUAAAUUUGAUAGUUAUUGACAAAUUGCCUUCUAUAUAGGUAGCCCAUUUUUUUUAGAGAUGACAAAAUUGGAGUUUAAAGAGGGUAAGUGACUUGACUAAAGUCAUAUAAAGCAACUGGGAGGGAACCAAGGUUUUUGUUCUCAGUCCAAGACUCUCUGGGCCCAUGGGCCCAAAGAAAUCAGGGACAUAAAAGAAACAUCAGCUAGAUUCCUGAACUGUAAUAAAAUCCACAGUUUCACAUACUAAACAUUAAAUACUGUUGAUUCAACUUUGAGAAGUCAUAGAACCUGCCCUCAGGGAACCUACAGCCUAGGAGAGAGAGAGACAAGUAAAAAGCACUUUUGAUUCAGCAUAUGGGAUAAGGGAAAUAUAUAAGGAGACCCAGUGAGAACAUGGGAAGAGCCCCUGAUUUAGAUUUGGUUUCCUGAAACAGGAGGCAUUUAAGUUAACAUUAGAUUAUCUAAAAUUGUCCUCUGUAACCUGAAUUAUAACUACCCUCUUCUUCAACCCUCACAGUUUCCCAUCCCAAACCUUUUAUCAAAGUUAUUGCUAAGUAGCAAAAUGGAUUGCUUUGUGAAAGCAUGGUCUAGUUGGAAUAACAAUAAAGGCUAAUGCACACUGAGUUCCCGCUGUGUGUCAGGCUGCUUUCUGGCUCAGCCAUGAACCAGCCAUGUGACCCGGAGCAGGUAACAUCUCCCAUGUGUGCGUUAGUGCUCAAAUCUUUUAAGUAAAACAGUUAAUCCGAUGACCCCAUCAGUCUCACAUGCUAUGGCUCUGUCUCUAAAAUCGUUGAGGCCUCUGCUGGUGGAUGAUGGACAAGUGUGCCGGAACAAUGGAUUCGGGAAAAGGAGCAGAAGGACUGGAGAGUCCUCAAGCUGGCAAAUCAGCCUUGGGAAAUUUGAUUUUGAGAGGAGAUGUCACACAUAUCAGAUAAAUAAUAAUACUGACAUCUUUCUGUUAAAUUUUUCCAAGGUCAUUUCAUAUGCUACUUCAUGAGGCUGGGCUGGUAGGCUACACAGCUCAGGCCCCACAGCAGGGCAGUGGUACAGCUUGGGCUGGGACCCAGUCUUCUUUCCUGAAACCUGACUAAUUCUAUUCUCUGAUUCCAUAUGGGAAGGAAAAUUCUGGUAGGGAGCAAUCCAGAGUCCCCAAGGCCCCCAGAAGCCUGAACUUAAAUAAACUUUGAGGUGCUGCCUCUCCUCCUUCACUACCAUCAGAGGGCACACUAACUCUCUCUGGGUGCUGGAACCAGAACUGUAUUUCCGCAGGAUUAGUCUAACAAGUGCUUUGGGUGACUUGGUACCCAUCUGUCUGGCUGCUCGUCCUUCGACUCAGCUGUGGCAGACUUCUGCCCAGUUCUAGCACCAGCCUUCAUGCUCUUGAUAACCUGCCCACCCCGACUCCUCUGAGCCCAGGCCCUGCCCUGCCUUUCUCCAUGGGUCCUUCGUCUCUGGGAGUCCAGCUUGAGGCCAAGAUCCCAGGACAUCCCCAGGACAUAACCUGUUUCUAGGUCCCCUCUUCUGGGCUUUGUUCAAUGACUUUGUUUGCUCAACCUCCCUAACACUGACCACCUGUUAGGAAGACUGUCUAGCUCUGAGAUCUUUUUCAAAUAAUUUUGUGCCUGCUGGGCUGCCCACCUCCCAUAGCCUACAGCUAGAUUUACCCCUAAGCUGCUCACUCACAAUGCUAUGCCCCACAUCCAGGCCCAGUCUGGGUGAUCUAGUGAUGUGGAUGUGAUGUGUGCAAUCUUUGAAUUCUGUUUUGACAGCCUCCCACCCCACCCCCCAAUCAGAGCUGGAAGCUGAUGAAGUGGGUAACCUGGGGGUGACUUGCUAUCUGACCCUUUCUGGAGGUCUUUGGCCCAUCUGUGAAAGUGCCCCCUAGGUUCCCUUUCCUUGCAAGUUGAAUGAGAACACAGCUAUUUGGCCCCUUGAGGGAAGGCUCUGUCUGAAAACAGACGUGAUUACUAUUUCCAUCACCUUUAUAAUCCUUUAAUCACACACUUGCAGCAGGGAGUCUGGGCAGGGUGAGUCCAUUUAUAUAAACAGCAGGAAAAAUGAGGUUCUGUGCUAUAUGCCAACCAUGCUUAGCAGAAAUGUAAGAAUCUCUGGCUUUUCAUGAGCAGAAAAAUGAAUAAUCCAGGUGUUUAUCCUGAAACAGCUCACUUUCAAACUGCUGGGGCCUGUGCUCACAUUGUGAAGGCUUGGAGAGGGACAUAUCAGCCCUAGAGGGCCCAAGGGGAUGCAGGCCUGAGCCCUCUGCUCUCUCAGUGGGUUGGACAGUAUGGAAAGACAGGCUCUCUGGGCAGCUGACUGCCCCUGAACAAGGCAUCUCGCAUACUUGUGGCCCUUGGGUCCUAGAAGUAUUAAUCUUGAAGUCUGUCCCUAUCAUGAAUGAGAUAAGAGGUCUCAUGGGGGUUCAAAAAACAUUGUUCAGAAUGGGUCCCUAGCAGAUAGGGUUGUGUGCGUGUGUGUGUGUGUGUGUGUGUGUGUGUGAGAGAGAGAGAGAGGGUGGGGGGAACGUCCCACCAGGGCUUCCAACCACUGGUCCAGAUGGCAGAGGCAAAGAGAGGCCUUGGUGAUGGUACAGUGAUCCUCUACUCAGAGAAGAGCCAAGACUUGGCUGAACAGUCAGGAUACAGCUCUGCGCCAUGUAUCUCUCAUCCUCCUCUGGGACCAAUGAGAUGGCAGAGACAUCUGAAGACGCCUCCCCUGAACUGCCGCUUCUCAUCGCCACGGGAUGUCUAGUGGGAAUCUCGAACUUCACUUGCCCCGAACUCCUGAUUUCUCCCUCUAAACCUGCUCCACCUACAGUCUUUCCCAUGUCAACUGAGUAUGGCCAGGCAGGGACUGUAUCCAUCUUCCCCUACAGCUGGGUCCUGGCGUGAAGCACAUGGCUUGGCACAUGUCACAUGCUCAGUGGCAGUAGACACUUGAGAGAUCAUGGGAUUUAAAAUGUGCAGUGGAAGGUUGAGACAUGGAGAAGCCUGCCCACCAUGUCACAGCAGCUGCUAGAAAAGUUAAAACUACAUCUGUGGUUCCACUGUGGCUGAUACUGUAUUUCUGCUGUACGUCCCUGCCUUGGAAGCUCCUGGGUCCCAGGGGACCAGGGCACCCUUUUGCCACCACCCCCAUCUCCAUGCUGAAUGUCGCUGUCACCUCCGCUGAACAGGAUCUCUGCUCCUCCUGUAGGUUCUGUGCCAUCUACCAGACAGAACCAUCAACCUCUGCAGCUCCUGCAGCCCUAAAGCAGGCGCUUCCACCCAGCAUGAGUCCUCGAGAUCUUCAAGCAGCCAGCGCCCCGGGGCAGGGUGGAGGAGCGGAGCGUCUCCUUCCCCUUUGUGCUUCUAUUGAGAGGCCCAGAGCAGAGAAAGCUGUUAGUGCUCCAGCAUCUCAGAGUGCACAGAGGCCUUUUCUUUUUUUAUUUACUGCCGUCUCUGCGGGAAAACAAUGGAGGUUGGCCAGGAUCAGACUUUUGCUUUGUUUUGUUUCCUAUAUAUUAUAUAUUUGCUUUUUAAAAAAACCCUUUCAAAUAAAUUUUA